rnacentral:rRNA from 1 species
GACGAACGCUGGCGGCGUGCUUAACACAUGCAAGUCGAGCGGUAAGGCCCUUUCGGGGUACGACGAGCGGCGAACGGGUGAGUAACACGUGGGUGACCUGCCCUCAGCUCUGGGAUAAGCCUGGGAAACCGGGUCUAAUACCGGAUAUGACUCCAUGACGCAUGUUGUGGGGUGGAAAGCCUUGUGCGGCUGAGGAUGGGCCCGCGGCCUAUCAGCUUGUUGGUGGGGUGAUGGCCUACCAAGGCGACGACGGGUAGCCGGCCUGAGAGGGCGACCGGCCACACUGGGACUGAGACACGGCCCAGACUCCUACGGGAGGCAGCAGUGGGGAAUCUUGCGCAAUGGGCGAAAGCCUGACGCAGCGACGCCGCGUGAGGGAUGACGGCCUGGU